rnacentral:rRNA from 1 species
ACGUAGGUGGCAAGCGUUGUCCGGAAUUAUUGGGCGUAAAGCGCGCGCAGGCGGUCCUUUAAGUCUGAUGUGAAAGCCCACGGCUCAACCGUGGAGGGUCAUUGGAAACUGGGGGACUUGAGUGCAGAAGAGGAAAGUGGAAUUCCACGUGUAGCGGUGAAAUGCGUAGAGAUGUGGAGGAACACCAGUGGCGAAGGCGGCCCCCUGGGUCGAUACUGACGCUCAUGCACGAAAGCGUGGGUAGCAAACAGGA